rnacentral:rRNA from 1 species
UACGGAGGGGGCUAGCGUUGUUCGGAAUUACUGGGCGUAAAGCGUGCGUAGGCGGACCUGCAAGUCGGGGGUGAAAGCCCGAGGCUCAACCUCGGAACUGCCUUCGAUACUGCGGGUCUCGAGUCCGGGAGAGGUGAGUGGAAUUCCUAGUGUAGAGGUGAAAUUCGUAGAUAUUAGGAAGAACACCAGUGGCGAAGGCGGCUCACUGGCUCGGUACUGACGCUGAGGCGCGAAAGCGUGGGGAGCAAACAGG